AAAUGACUUGUCUUGAAGGGACUUUGAUUAGAAACACCUUCACAGCAGAUUUUUUUUUUUUUUGUAAUUUGAUGCAACGGUAAUAUAAUACUAAGUAUAGUGUUAUAAAUGUAUAUACAUUUUUUAAAAAAUGAAAGUAUAAAAUAAUUUGCAGGAUUUACGAUAUUGAUGACCGUUAAAACGCCACAGGCCCCGCCCACUGGCGUUCAGACAUUUCCCUACACUGGCCGUGCGUCGCGUCAAAAGCAAAUAGAAGCCAUUAAAAUCUUCGACGCUGUCUACACUGAUACAGUAUACAGAUGUGUGUUCAGCUUACUAAACAUGCUUGAGUCUGUCGACAACAGGACAAUAUAGAAGAUUAAAAGAACGUUUGCGUUGAUGCGUCCAGUUUAAACGGCUCGUCUCUGUACAGACUUCAGAAGGAUCCCAGCGUCAGAAAUUAGUGGAUGGUUUAUUUCAGAGCCGUUCAUAUUUAACGGCUCUGGUUUAUUUCAAUGUCAUCCCAGAUUUUUCCCAGAUGUUUUUUUUUUCCCGGAGCAUUUUGUUUUGUAAAUGACUGAGGCACAGUGUAAUGGAGAGUUUGCAAAGAAACUUUUGUUGACAGACGAAGCAGCCUACUCUAUUGGAUCUGACAGCAGCUGCAUCACAAACCCUGUAAUGGAUUCAACACACCAGCACUUUGACAACAUCUGUUGGUUGCUAUAAAACAGGCACAGAUGAAGGGUUUCUCUCAGCUGGAGAUCUUAAAGAGAACAGGGAACGGUUAGCCAGGGAAUGUCUUUGAAGAACAGAAAGGAGACACCUGAUAUCAUCCUCGUUUGCGAACAUGAUGAUGGCCCGGGC